AGCUCCAAUAGCAUAUACUAAAGUUGUUGCAGUUAAAAAGCUCGUAGUUGGAUUUUAAGGUUUAUUGGGGUCAAAGCCAUUUGCCGCUCUGGUGGUUAAAUGUGCUCCAGUAUUUCUUUUUUUUGAAAAAUUGCUCAGCUUGUAUCAACCUAGUUGGUACUCGUUUGGGCAUUUUACUUUGAGAAAAUUGUGGUGUUUAAAGCAGGCGUCUCGCCUGAUCUUUUGCAGCAUGGUAUGAUGAAACAUGACUUUUUUCUAUUU
rnacentral:rRNA from 1 species